rnacentral:rRNA from 1 species
UGGGGAAUUUUCCGCAAUGGGCGCAAGCCUGACGGAGCAAGACCGCGUGGGGGAGGAAGGUUCUUGGAUUGUAAACCCCUUUUCUCUGGGAAGAAAAAAAUGACGGUACCAGAGGAAUAAGCAUCGGCUAACUCCGUGCCAGCAGCCGCGGUAAGACGGAGGAUGCAAGCGUUAUCCGGAAUGAUUGGGCGUAAAGCGUCCGUAGGUGGCAUUUCAAGUCUGCUGUCAAAAACCGUAGCUUAACUACGGAAAGGCAGUGGAAACUGAAAAGCUAGAGUGCGGAAGGGGCAGAGGGAAUUCCUGGUGUAGCGGUGAAAUGCGUAGAGAUCAGGAAGAACAUCGGUGGCGAAAGCGCUCUGCUGGGCCGCAACUGACACUCAGAGGACGAAAGCUAGGGGAGCGAAUGGG